UUGCAUUUUCUGUCUACUUCGGCGUGCCUCGUGUCGGCUGCUCUCUGCGCCGCACUGUACCCCGCGGUACUGCUGGCUCCCGGAUUUUAAGCGACGGCCAGCGGGAAUUUCAGCCCUUGGGGCAUAUGCUACGUUACUAUACGCCAAGGACACUCCGGUUAAGCCGCCGAAGCGUAUAAGUCGCAGGUCUUGCCUGCCUAGUACUCGUUUCUUUGUGUGUGCGUGUUCCCACUCGUCGGCGACGCCUGGACUACGAACUGUGGACGAACUCUGACCAUGGCCACUAACCGAGGACCUGCGCAGCGACCCUUCAUCACGGCGAGCGUCGUCACGGCGAGCUUCCACACGUCGAGCGUCGUCAGCGCUCACGAGCUAAGUCCUAUAGAUGGUCCCCAAGCUGGCGAGGGUGGCGCACGCCUUAGCGAAGUUAACUGUUAAGUUCUACUAGUUAGCGCUCGCUAUGAUUGUAAAGUUACGUUUGAAAAUUACGUAAAGUUAGUUUUGUUGCUUAACUGUAAGCCCGAGGAGUUUCGUUGGCAUGGCUGCGACCACAUGGGUCUCCCCCGUGCCGGAAUCGAAGAGGACGGGCCACCGUGUUCGGGGUGGCGGCGUGUGUAGCUUCAGGCUUAGCUGACACACAGCUUAGCUCACACUAGGCAGGCUAGCUGAUAGCGUCCUCUUUUCGACUGCGGCAAGGACAUGGACCCGUUCCGAAUUGCACUGCGACCCGACCACUAUUUCGUGACAAGGUAGCCCGGGCGCGUCAGUGCUAUCGAGCGAAAUGUGGAAUCGGGGGAGCACUCGGAAUUACCUCGCCAGCUUUUAGCUACUAAUCCUGCUUAACGCAGCCCUCGACGCCGGACGUCGCCUGCGGUCCUCAUCGGAGCUUGGCCGGGCAGCAGCGACAAGCAUCACUCGUAGCGCGGCCUACCGUGUUCCCUCGUCGGUGUGGUCUUGUUGGCAGGUGAGACCAUGGUCAUCGCCCUGCACUACUACGGGAUCCCAACUUUUGCUUUCGAUUGCGGCCCACGAGUAGGAAGGAUAUCCAGUGUGCUGCUCCACGUUUGCCAUCCUCCCAACGUCCUCCCACAGGAGAUGGCCCUGAGCACCACUCGUACCGUGGCUGGCCGCGUUGGCUCCAUUGCAUUCUACCACCCGUGUCCUGCCGGCAGACGGGACUUGGUUUGGAGCCCUGCCACUACUGAAUCUUGACCUCUGCUUUCGGUUGCGGCCCACGAGUAGGAUAUCCAGUGUGCUGCUCCACGUUUGCCAUCCUCCCAACGUCCCCAUACAGGAGAUGGCCUUGAGCACCACUUGUACCGUGGCCGACCGCGCUUUAUCGUCGGUGUGCGGUCUUGCUGGCAAACGAAGACUGCUCAUCGCCCUGCACCACUACGUGAUCCCAAAGUCUGCUUUCGAUUACGGCCUACGAGUAGAGACAUCAGUGUGCCGCUUCUUGCCAUCCUCCCAACUUCCCACAGGAGAUGGCUUUGAGCACAACUGGCACCGUGGCAGACCGUGUUUGUUACAUUGCGUUCCCUCACCGAUGGCGUCCUGCAGGCAGACGGGACUUGCUCCUACUACUGGUGUUCGUUUUCGAUAGCGGUGCACCAGGACAAUCCAGGCAGUGCUUCCAAAAGAUCUCAUUGAGCAGCAAUCGUCCCAUGGCGGCCCACCUGAGCACAUCGGCCGACAACUGUGGACAUCGAAGUCUGAGCGUGGCCACAAACCGACGACCUGCGGAGCAACCCCUCAUCACAGCGAGCUUCUUUCUUCGCGACGAGCUUAAAUGCUCAACAAGUGAGAUGCCAGAUGGUCCCCAAGCUGGCGAGGGUGGCGCACGCCUUAGCUAAGUUAACUGUUACGUUUCAUCAGUUGGCGCUCGCUAGGAUUGUAUAGUUACGUUUGAAAAUUAGGUAAAAUUAGUUUUGUUGCUUAACUGUAAGCCCGAGAGUUUCAUGGGCAUGGCUGCGACCACGUGGGUCUCCCCCGUGCCGGAAUCGAAGAGGACGGGCCACCGUGUUCGGGGUGGCGGCGUGUGUAGCUUCAGGCUUAGCUGACACACAGCUUAGCUCACACUAGGCAGGCUAGCUGAUAGCGUCCUCUUUUCGACUGCGGCAAGGACAUGGACCCGUUCCGAAUUGCACUGCGACCCGACCACUAUUUCGUGACGAGGUAGCCCGGGCGCGUCAGUGCUAUCGAGCGAAAUGUGGAAUCGGGGGAGCACUCGGAAUUACCUCGCCAGCUUUUAGCUACUAAUCCUGCUUAACGCAGCCCUCGACGCCGGACGUCGCCUGCGGUCCUCAUCGGAGCUCGGCCGGGCAGCAGCGACAAGCAUCACUAGUAGUGCGGCCUACCGUGUUCCCUCGUCGGUGUGGUCUUGCUGGCAGGCGAGACCAUGGUCAUCGCCCUGCACUACUACGGGAUCCCAACUUUUGCUUUCGAUUGCGGGCCACGAGUAGGAAGGAUAUCCAGUGUGCUGCUCCACGUUUGCCAUCCUCCCAACGUCCUCCCACAGGAGAUGGCCCUGAGCACCACUCGUACCAUGGCUGGCCGCGUUGGCUCCAUUGCAUUCUACCACCCAUGGUGUCCUGCCGGCAGACGGGACUUGGUUUGGAGCCCUGCUACUACUGAAUCUUGACCUCUGCUUUCGGUUGCGGCCCACGAGUAGGAUAUCCAGUGUGCUGCUCCACGUUUGCCAUCCUCCCAACGUCCCCAUACAGGAGAUGGCCCUGAGCACCACUUGUACCGUGGCCGACCGCGCUUUAUCGUCGGUGUGCGGUCUUGCUGGCAAACGAAGACUGCUCAUCGCCCUGCCCCACUACGUGAUCCCAACGUCUGCUUUCGAUUACGGCCUACGAGUAGAGACAUCAGUGUGCCGCUCCUUGCCAUCCUCCCAACGUCCCACAGGGGAUGGCUUUGAGCACCACUCGCACCGUGGCAGACCGUGUUUGUUACAUUGCGUUCCCUCACCGAUGGCGUCCUGCAGGCAGACGGGACUUGCUCCUACUACUGGUGUUCGUUUUCGAUGGCGGUGCACCAGGACAUUCCAGACAGUGUUUCCAAAAGAUAUAACAUUGAGCAGCAAUCGUCCUAUGGCUGUCCACCUGAGCAUAUCGGCCAACAACUGUGGACAUCGAAGUCUGAGCGUGGCCACAAACCCAGGACCUGCGGAGCAACCGCUCGUCACAGCGAGCUUCUUUCUUCGCGACGAGCUUAAAUGCUCAUCAAGUAAGAUAGAUGCCAGAUGUUCUCCAAGCUGGCGAGGGUGGCGCGUGCUUUUGAGAAGUCGUCAGUUGAGUGUAGCUGUAUUCGAAAAUUGCGUAAGUUUAGUUUAGGUGAUUAAUUUUAAGCCCGAAGUUUAGUGGGCACUGCAUGCGGCCACAUCGGGUCUUCUCCCUGAUGGAAUCGAAGAGGACGGGUCCACACCCGCGGUGGCGGCGGGUGUAGCUUCAGGCUUAGCGAAUUGCGGGUAGGCUUAGCUGGCGCACCCGGCAGGCUAUAGCUGACAGCCGUCCUCUUUCGAUUGUGCCAGGGACAUUAACCCGUUCUGCAUGUCCUUGCGACCCGACCACUAUUUCGUGACAAGAUAGCCCGGGCGCGUCAGUGCUAUCGAGCGAAAUGUGGAUUCGUGGAAGCAAACGACAUCCGGAAUCGCCUCGCCAGCUUUAGCUGCCGUGGCAUCGCACGUCGCCUUGGGUCUCCAGCGCAUCUCGGGCCUGCAGCUGAUAAUGUAAGUGGUCCAUUUCGUUGUAAUUGCAGCUGUUCGUUUUUUGGCGUUUACGCUCCUCCCUUCGUUGCAGAAGAUGACCUUGAAAGCCACUCGAAUACCGUCGCCGACCGUGUUGGCUUCGCAUUCCCUCGCCGGUGGCCUUGCUGGUGAACGAUACUUUGUUCCUCGCCCGGCACUACUCCUGGCAAGUACCUUGAACACUCGAAUCGUACUAUACCUGUGUUCUCGAGUGUUUAAUAAGCCCCGCGUGUUUUCAGGUUCCGACCGUCUGCUUUCGAUUGCGGCUAUUCACAAGGAUAUCCGGCGCGCUUCUGCGCAGUCUAGUGUCCGGCCUACGCUAGAGACGCAUUUAACUCUACUCGUCCUAUAUGGCCGCGGCCGUGUUACAUCUGCCUCUUCUCGCCGGUGGCUUCCUGCUGGGAGACGGAGUGUUGCUCGGCUACCUGUGCUGGUUCUGGCAAAAACCAUGUACAUUUCAAUCUCGCUACAGAUGUGUUCUCGUGUGGUUCAUCAGCCCUGCGGCAUUUGAUUCCCAACGUCUGCUUUUGAAUUAAGCGUCGUCAGAAGUUGUUAAAUACUAUGCUUUCUUUGCUAGUCGGUCUUCUCGAAUUGCUUGAUGCAGCAUAUGGUAUUUAACGUUCUCGGAUUUUUCCGACCGCGCUCGUUGUGCCAUUCCAGGCGUGCAAUACUUUGCAUUGCGCAGUUGUACUUUCCUCCCAGUACUGAAUUUGUUGCUCUUUGCAUGGGAGUUUUCUCUCUCCAUCCUUCUGAACAGUCCUUGUGAAUUAUGUAACUACAUGGUCCAAUUGAUGCAGUGUUUUUCUGAAGAGUUAUGGCAAUAUUUUCCAUUUUCCACAACUUUCCGAUUUCGUAAAUUUCGUCAGUUUCUGCGGUGUGAAGAACCGUGACGGGUUUCACUUUUAGUACUUCUAAUUCUACACCCCAUGGGCCAUGGACAAUCCAUUUGCGAGUGCUUUCCAUUAUACGUUAGCCAUUUUACUCGUUUUGUUGUUCGUCCGCAGUAAAAAUCGUAUCUAAGCGUCUCUAGCAUUUUUCACCUUUGUCAUCCGCAAUCUUUAUUCCCAUCCUGUUCAUAUAUAACUCGCUUGUCGUUGAGUCAACGAAGUCGUCCUUUUGCUAUUACGUCUACUUCAAUGAUAUUGAUUAGUUACUAAUUCAUCUGGAUUUUGUUUCGAUAAAGCAGUUUCAACUAGUCCUCUCGCUUUCUCUUAGUCCGAAUGCUCCCAGCGUGAGUGUCUGUGCGGUCGAAUUUAGAAACUAGUUUUCGUGCCACACAGGCCCAUGUAUAUUCGUUGGCUUCCACACGAAAUUCUCGCAUCGUCUGCUCAAUUUUAACAUUCUGCAACUGUCCUAUAGCGACGGUCGUGUAUAGUAGAGCUGAACGAUCUUCGUGCGGUUUAGGAGAUGCUAUAGUUGUCAUCAGCCACAUCGGGUGUUCCUUUUGCGUCAUUUGACUUGCUCUCGUUCAUUAUCGUUAAGCACAUUUCAUGUUGCUUCGCAACGCUUGCAAACGACGGUUGCCUUGCAAGAUUUUGCAUUACAUUUUGGUCUCGCGUGCCGGCAGCAUUUAUUUUCGUAUCGAAGCUUCUGCUUCAUGUCCAUGUGCAGCUUCCUUCACAUCACAAAGUAGUGCAACUUCUGGUAAAUUCUGUCGAAGAUGAAUUGAGCUUUGAAGCUGUCUGCGAUGUCUUUGCCGCGUCAGAUUGCUGCCGUCAAACAUUAAAAUCUCUAGUUUCGGCAGCUUGACGUAACUGCCAUGAUCCAAAGACCGAUUAACUGACGCUGACUGCGCACUUUCUAUUGAUGCGUUAUCGCAAUCGUUCGUCGUUAGUCAUUUUAUUGAUCCUGGGCUAUCCUUUAAUUUGUUGUAAUUACCUUCACGUCACAUUCCGCUACUUUCUAAUUUGGUCCGACUCCGUUCCCUUGAUGACAAACGUCUCCAUCUGUGCAUUUUUGGCUCGGCAACUGUUAAGCCCUUGAUUUGACUUAGUCUCGUGGUUACAGAAACUGUCUUCUCCGUAGCUCAUUUUACUUUCUGCCUCUUAAGGUUCACUGUCUCCAUCCUUGGUUCAUUUUUCGAUACUUUCUAUUCAUGUUCAAAAUACAGGCUUACAUUCACGACGUAGCAACGGCUUCUAGUUUCUCUUUUGCGGUUGCUCUUGGCUCCACGGCCUCCAUUCCCGAUUGCCAAUCGCAUGUCAGCUGUCUCGUUUUCCUUCACUGUUGUUCUUGGCGACGAGGGUCGAGUCCAGGUUCUGAGCUCCUGUUUUCGAUUGUGGCCCACAAGGACACCCAGCCCGCUCCUGCAUUCUCUCCGGUCUACGCUCCAGCGGAGAUGAGCACGAGCACCACCCUUCCCAUGAGCGACUGCUACGACUUCUACAUUCUCUCGGCGAUGGCGUCCUGCUGGCGGACUCGACUUUCCUUCUCGCCCUACACUGCUGCUGGUUCUGAACUCCUGUGGCCUACAAGGACACCCAGCCCGCUCCUGCAUUCUCUCCGGUCUACGCUCCAGCGGAGAUGAACACGAGCACCACCCUUCCCAUGAGCGACUGUUAUGACUUCUACAUUCUCUCGCCGAUGGCGUCCUGCUGGCAGACUGGACUUUCCUUCUCGCCCUACACUGCUGCUGGUUCUGAACUCCUGUGGCCUACAAGGACACCCAGCCCGCUCCUGCAUUCUCUCCGGUCUACGCUCCAGCGGAGAUGAGCACCACCCUUCCAAUGAGCGACUGUUACUUCUACAUUCUCUCGCGGAUGGCGUCCUGCUGGCAGACUGGACUUUCCCUCUCGCCCUACACUGCUGCUGGUUCUGAACUCCUGUGGCCUACAAGGACACCCAGCCCGCUCCUGCAUUCUCUCCGGUCUACGCUCCAGCGGAGAUGAGCACGAGCACCACCCUUCCCAUGAGCGACUGCUACGACUUCUACAUUCUCUCGGCGAUGGCGUCCUGCUGGCGGACUCGACUUUCCUUCUCGCCCUACACUGCUGCUGGUUCUGAACUCCUGUUUUCGAUUGUCGUCCACAAGGACACCCAGCCCGCUCCUGCAUUCUCUCCGGUCUACGCUCCAGCGGAGAUAAGCACGAGCACCACCCUUCCCAUGAGCGACUGCUACGACUUCUACAUUCUCUCGCCGAUGGCGUCCUGCUGGCAGACUGGACUUGGCCUGGCAACCUUGUGCUUAAUGCGUGUGAAUCGCCUACACACGACUGUACUACGACUGUCUUCGAAUGACCAACAAACAGGCCUUGUGUCAUUUUAGGUUACCAUUGUUAUCGCUUGUGACGCAAGAGAAGUGUUCCAGUACUCAUUUACGACAAUAACACUCGUGGCCUUACCUCAAGAGCGACUUUUCAUCCCGAUCAUCCUGCCGCAGACUCUAUAGCCCGCGUCCUCUGACCUGUGAAAGCGUCGUACGCUUCCGUCUUGGCUGUGUACUGCCCUGUGUUGGCGGCCUGUUAAUGUUCUGAAGGACUGCGUGUCGUCGACGUCCCGCGACCGUCCAUCGGAUGCACACCUACCGAUCUCCUGUUACCUUUUUUUUUAUGCAGGCACAUUUAAUAAGUUUAUUAUAGCCAGCUUUCAUUCUCUGAAAGAUUGGUACGUUGCUCAGCGAAUUAAUGGCGCUUCUAGCAAUUGCAUAUAAUACAAAGCAGAACAGUAGAGGUCUGGUUACGUGGACAUCACGAAGUUUUUCAUAAACAUUGAUGUCGUCGUGAGCUGAUCUGUAAAUCUUUAGUGGCGAGAGUAAUGGGCAUUAAUUCACAUUGUGCACUUUCGUAGUAGUACGUUGAUAUUGGUGUGUGUGUGUGUGUGUGUGUGUGUGUGUGUGUGUGUGUGUGUGUGUGUGUGUGUGUGUGUUUCCUUCUGUUCGGUCGAGCAUUAUCGUAUGACAAAGGUUCGAAUUCGUUCUAUUUCGGUAGCAUUUCUAGUGGCACCGUUGUAUCCACAAAACCCGUUGAUAGUUCAUUUUUCCUGGUUCGUUCCGGUUGAACAGUGCUUCGUUUGAUGCUUUACUAUCGUCUAUGCACAUCCGCUUUUGGAUUGGUUGAGCCACUCGUUGCUUUGGUCCUUGGGUUGAUCUUGGUGCUCGUUUCGGCAUUCAGCGGAUUUGUUGAGGUAUCUUUCUCGUAUCGGAAACUAGGGCUUCAUACACGUUCUCGGUUCUUCCACGACGCUCGUCACCUACUCAAGAUCAACAUGCCACUACAAAAGUGCACAAUGUCAAUGAAUGGGAGAGGGGAGGGUAGUUACUCUUGCUAACAGAUUCCCUGAUUAGCUCACGACGGUAAUGACGUUUAUAUAAAAACUGCUUGGUGGUAAAUGUAACCAUGCUCGCUGCUUCUAGUUCUAUGUGCCUGCAUUAUUAAAUGCUUUUCUGGAUGAGUGAUUUUAUGGAUACGAGGGUUCUCUUUGAACUAUGGUGGUGCCGAGGCCAUACAUUGUCUGCGUUACUUAUUGGCCCGUAAAACUGGUUCGUAAUGUCUGUGGACCGUGCAACCUCGCAGAAAUGUGUUGCCAUCGUAGACACGGGCGUCUGAGCAGCGUACGGCUCUCGACGAGGCAGAGUAGCAUUUCUCUACAUGGUUUAACAUUUGUAUUGCCUGUCAUUUGUUCAUCGGACAUUGCUACCCACUGUUGCAUCAUUAGCGCCUUGCUUUGAUCUGGAUUUCUGUGCGCAUAAUUAUUGAUACGGAACAGCCGCCACAAUGUGGCUACUCCCUCUAUCUAGAGGGUAUUGCUGCAGGCAUACUAUUUUUGUAGAGCACGUCCCUCCAGGCCCUUGUGCCCAAGGGUCUCAGUGAGGUGGGAGUGCUAAUGGAAGCGACGCAUUUUUUAACGUACAUUUUAUGGCCAUCGCUCUAAUCACUCGUCAUUACCAUUCUUUUAACACUUGUAUAUUUUAUACACCUUACAGUAAAUAUUUUAGGCCUCUAUACAGCAUCGUUACAUUUUACCUUUCAUUCAUCGCAGCAUUGACUUCCCCAUACGAUUUCUUGGCGCUCUUUAGCCAUCCCUGGUACCUUGCGCCAAAAAAAUUCUACACAUCAUCAUCAGUGUGGCUACAGUCACCAUCUUGGCCACUGUUAGCCUACGUGUAAAUAUAUUGUAAAUAGGCUUGUACAUCAGCUACACGUAACAUUAUCACGUACUGUGCAAGGUCAGUAGGGAUGGUGAACCGCCUUGACGCGUCUGUGCGUAAUCGCUAGUCAGCAGCCAACGAGAUCAGUUUUGUCAUUCGUGCUUCAAGUAUACCGCUUAAGCCAUUGUAAAACGGCUGCUUCAAAGGGGCUACAUUUAUUCCCCCUUAUGCCGAAUCAUGUGUAAACACGUAGUCAAGUGCACGAGUGCGCACAAUGAAAUCGUAAAUGUCCGCUUUAGUUUUUAUUAUUGCCAAUUACUUUUAAUGUUCUCCAUACCUUCUAAUAACCUGUCCCCACGUUGCUUGAAAACUAAGGUGAGCACUAUCCUUGGUAAAUGGUUACCUGUACCACAUCACUCUGCCUGUGUAGCUGCUUUCAUCGGCUGUGAUGGAUAAGUCAAGCAGCUACGCAUGCGCGAUGAUGCUAAAAAAAAAAAAUUGAACGCAUUUUUCUUGGCUCCGCACGUGCACACGGUGCUAUGGAGCCUUUCUGUAGGAAGUAUCUUUCGUUUUCAUCUUCAGUUAAGACAGUCUUGCAGUUACGCCACACAAUACUCGGUAAUUUCACAAUACGACCAGUGUGGAGAUUUGGACUUGCUAGUACGCGUCAUCUUGAAGGUUUUCCUUCUGUGUAACCCAACUGGUACACGGACGUAGAGCAAGGCACACGCACACAACACUCAGUAGUUUAACAAUACGACAGCGAUGCACGAAAUAACUGCAGCUCGAGAGGCCUGUGAUAUUGAAAAUGUGACAUGGUACAUAAAAUCGUCGUGUAGAAAUGUUUUUGUCCCUUCAAAUCUGAGAGACGUCUUUUCGAUCUACUUGCGAAGGUGAUGUACAACGCUUACUCCUGUCAGAUAGUUCAAAUAGCUUCAAGCUGCAAAACCUUUCUUUCAUGCAAAUAAACCCGUACGAAGUCCACUAUUCCUUGCGCCUUGCUUAUGCUGUUUCGUUUUUACUUCUGUACUUUUUUACUUACACCAAAGUAUCUAGAAGCUGAGAAAUUGUGUGCUAUGUAUAUCUCGCUAUGUAUUUGAUAUGUAUUUGUAUAUAAAUGCGUAAAUUUGUAUGCUCAUUCUAUGCAUAUUAAAUGCACUGCAGACUGCCGUCAGCAGCACGGGAGAAUUGGUCACGUGCAUUGUGUGGCGCUGAUUGUACUGAGCAUGCGUUGCAUUAAACUACACCUUACAAAUCUCCUGUCGGAACAAUAAAAACGUCUU